rnacentral:rRNA from 1 species
GACGAACGCUGGCGGCGUGCUUAACACAUGCAAGUCGAACGGUAAGGCCCUUCGGGGUACACGAGUGGCGAACGGGUGAGUAACACGUGGGUGAUCUGCCCUGCACUUCGGGAUAAGCCUGGGAAACUGGGUCUAAUACCGGAUAGGACCACUGCCCGCAUGGGGGGUGGUGGAAAGCUUUUGCGGGGUGGGAUGGGCCCGCGGCCUAUCAGCUUGUUGGUGGGGUGAUGGCCUACCAAGGCGACGACGGGUAGCCGGCCUGAGAGGGUGACCGGCCACACUGGGUCUGAGAUACGGCCCAGACUCCUACGGGAGGCAGCAGUGGGGAAUAUUGCACAAUGGGCGCAAGCCUGAUGCAGCGACGCCGCGUGAGGGAUGACGGCCUUCGGGUUGUAAACCUCUUUCAGCACCGACGAAGCGCAAGUGACGGUAGGUGCAGAAGAAGGACCGGCCAACUACGUGCCAGCCGCCGCCGUAA